rnacentral:rRNA from 1 species
GUCCACGCCCUAAACGAUGCAUACUUGGUGUGGGCAGUUCAGUCUGUCCGUGCCGGAACUAACGCGUUAAGUAUGCCGCCUGGGGAGUACGAUCGCAAGGCUGAAACUCAAAGGAAUUGACGGGGGCCCGCACAAGCGGUGGAGCAUGUGGUUUAAUUCGACGCAACGCGAAGAACCUUACCUGGGCUCGAACGGCUUAGGACCGGGGUGGAAACAUCCUUUUCCCGCAAGGGACCUGAGUCGAGGUGCUGCAUGGCUGUCGU